rnacentral:rRNA from 1 species
GGUGGCAAGCGUUGUCCGGAUUUAUUGGGCGUAAAGCGAGUGCAGGCGGUUCAAUAAAUCUGAUGUGAAAAACUUCGGCGCAAACGGAGAAAUGCAUCAGAAACUGUUGAACUUGAGUGCAGAAGAGGAGAGUGGAACUCCAUGUGUAGCGGUGGAAUGCGUAGAUAUAUGGAAGAACACCAGUGGCGAAGGCGGCUCUCUGGUCUGCAACUGACGCUGAGGCUCGAAAGCAUGGGUAGCGAAC